UACUAUAGAUCCACUUUGGGGUGUUUUGGAGGAGCGAGUCAGGAAACAUUUUCCUCCACCAGCAUCACGUAGUGACCUGGACACGUAGUGACCAACUACCCUAUAGCUCUGUGAGAAACAGGCAGACAGACAGACAGGUGCUGUACCCGACACUGAGAGACAGACAGACAGACAGACAGACAGGUGCUGUACCCGACACUGAGAGACAGACAGACAGGUGCUGUACCCGACACUGAGAGACAGACAGAGAGACAGACAGACAGACAGACAGGUGCUGUACCCGACACUGAUCCCUGCGUGGUGUUGAUCUCCAGACUGAACGGAUUGGGAACCUGAACCAUCUUCUUCUCUGGAAGAGGGAGUGAGUCACCUUCAU